CCCUUAGAUGUUCUGGGCCGCACGCGCGCUACACUGAUGCAUUCAACGAGUUUCUUCCUGGUCCGAGAGGAAUGGGUAACCUUUUGAAAGUGCAUCGUGAUAGGGAUAGACUAUUGCAAUUAUUGGUCUUCAACGAGGAAUUCCUAGUAGACGUAGUUCAUCAGACUGCAUCGAUUACGUCCCUGCCCUUUGUACACACCGCCCGUCGCUCCUACCGAUUGAAUGCUCAGGUGAGCCAUUCGGACUUUCAUCAUGCUGGUUUCCUGUUUUGAUGAAGGAAAGUCUUGCGAACCUUAUCAUUUAGAGGAAGGAGAAGUCGUAACA
rnacentral:rRNA from 1 species